rnacentral:rRNA from 1 species
UCCUACGGGGGGCAGCAGUGGGGAAUAUUGCACAAUGGGGGAAACCCUGAUGCAGCAACGCCGCGUGAGUGAUGACGGCCUUCGGGUUGUAAAGCUCUGUCUUCAGGGACGAUACUGACGGUACCUGAGGAGGAAGCCACGGCUAACUACGUGCCAGCAGCCGCGGUACUACGUAGGUGGCGAGCGUUGUCCGGAUUCACUGGGCGUAAAGGGAGCGUAGGCGGACUUUUACGUGCGCUGU